GCUUACACAUGCAAGUCGAGCGGUAACAUUUCUAGCUUGCUAGAAGAUGACGAGCGGCGGACGGGUGAGUAACGCGUAGGAAUCUGCCUAGUAGUGGGGGACAACAUGUGGAAACGCAUGCUAAUACCGCAUACGCCCUACGGGGGAAAGGAGGGGAUCUUCGGACCUUUCGCUAUUAGAUGAGCCUGCGUGAGAUUAGCUAGUUGGUGGGGUAAAGGCCUACCAAGGCGACGAUCUCUAGCUGGUCUGAGAGGAUGAUCAGCCACACUGGGACUGAGACACGGCCCAGACUCCUACGGGAGGCAGCAGUGGGGAAUAUUGGACAAUGGGCGCAAGCCUGAUCCAGCCAUGCCGCGUGUGUGAAGAAGGCCUUAGGGUUGUAAAGCACUUUCAGGAGUGAGGAAGGGCGUAUAGUUAAUACCUGUAUGUUUUGACGUUAACUCCAGAAGAAGCACCGGCUAACUCUGUGCCAGCAGCCGCGGUAAUACAGAGGGUGCGAGCGUUAAUCGGAAUUACUGGGCGUAAAGCGCGCGUANGCGGUUUGUUAAGUCGGAUGUGAAAUCCCA
rnacentral:rRNA from 1 species